rnacentral:ncRNA from 1 species
CAAGGGUUUGGUCCUAGCCCUUCCAUUAGUUAUUAAUAGGAUUACACAUGCAAGUCUCCGCGCCCCGGUGAAAAUGCCCUCUAAAUCGUAAAUCGACCUAAAGGAGCGGGUAUCAAGCACACACUAAACGUAGCUCAUAACGCCUUGCUUAGCCACACCCCCACGGGUUACAGCAGUGACAAAAAUUAAGCCAUGAAUGAAAAUUCGACUAAGCCAUAUUAAAGCAGGGUUGGUAAAUUUCGUGCCAGCCACCGCGGCCAUACGAUUAACCCGGACUAACAGACACACGGCGUAAAGCGUGUCCCAGAAACAACCCCAAACUAAAGUUAAACCUUAACUAAGCUGUAAAAAGCCACAGUUAAUAUGAAAAUACAACACGAAAGUAACUUUAACACCUCAACCACACGACAGCUAAGACCCAAACUGGGAUUAGAUACCCCACUAUGCUUAGCCAUAAACUUAGGUAGUUGACUAAACAAGCCUAUCCGCCAGAGAACUACUAGCAACAGCUUAAAACUCAAAGGACUUGGCGGUGCUUCACAUCCCUCUAGAGGAGCCUGUUCUAUAACCGAUAAACCCCGAUAAACCCCACCACCUCUUGCUAAUUCAGUCUAUAUACCGCCAUCUUCAGCAAACCCUAAAAAGGAAUAACAGUAAGCAAAAAUAUCUUAACAUAAAAAAGUUAGGUCAAGGUGUAACCCAUGAGGUGGAAAGCAAUGGGCUACAUUUUCUAUACAAGAACACCCUACGAAAGUUUUUAUGAAACCAAAAACCAAAGGAGGAUUUAGUAGUAAGCCAAGAAUAGAGUGCUUGACUGAAUAGGGCCAUGAAGCACGCACACACCGCCCGUCACCCUCCUCAAGUACAAAAACCCAAACACAACAUAUUUAAAUCACACCCAAUAUAAGAGGAGACAAGUCGUAACAAGGUAAGCAUACUGGAAAGUGUGCUUGGAUUAAA